rnacentral:misc_RNA from 1 species
CAACAAUAACCAAAAGAAAGAGAGAGAAAGAAAAGAGUUGUACUAAAGUGGUGGUGGUGAAUUAGUAAGAAAUGGCAGGGGUGAAGAUUGCAUGCUUGGCGGUGUUGUGCAUGGUGGUGGUGGUAGCACCGUAUGCGGAAGCGGUUACGUGCGGUCAGGUGCAGGGGAACCUGGCACAGUGCCUGGGGUACCUGAGGAAGGGAGGGGCGGUGCCAGGACCGUGCUGCAAUGGGGUUAGGGCCAUGAACUCGGCUGCUAAGACCUCUGCCGACCGCAAGCAAACUUGCGUAUGCUUGCAACAGGCUUCUAAAAGCAUUACUGGUAUUAAUCCCGAAGCCGCUGCUUCCCUCCCUGGCAAAUGCGGUGUUAACGUUCCUUACAAGAUCAGCCCCUCCACCGACUGCUCCAAGGUGCAUUGAGAUUGAUGGACCAUUGAUUUUCAGCUAGCACAGAUUUACUGCUGUUUUGAAUAAUAAUAAGAUGAAAGUGUGGAUUCCACCCAGAGUCCCCAUUUGUGUGUGUGUGUGUGUGUG